rnacentral:rRNA from 1 species
ACAUUUAAUAGCCGCAAUUCGUGCUAAGGUAGCAUAAUCAUUUGUCUUUUAAAUAAAGACUAGAACAAAAGAUUUAACAUUUUCAUUUAUUUAUUUUUCAAAAUGUUUUAAAUUUUCCUAUAAGUAAAAAGACUUAUAUUUAUUAGAAAGACGACAAGACCCUAUUGAACUUUACUUUAGUUAAACUGGGGCAGUAAAUUAAUUAUAAUUUUAAUUUUUUUUAAUUUAAAAAUCUCCAUUAAAAAUGAUUUAUUCAGUUACCAUAGGGAUAACAGUAUAAUUAUUUUUUAAAGAUCUUAUAUAAAAAAUAGAUUAUAACCUCGAUGUUGAAUUAAUAUCCUAAUUAAAGCAAAUUUUAAAUAAGGAAGUCUGUUCGACUUUUAAAUAAUUACAUGAUUUGAGUUCAGACCGGUAUAAGCCAGGUCGGUUUCUAUCUUCUAAAAAGUUUUUUGUAGUACGAAAGGACCUAAAAAUAUAAUUUAAUUUAUUAAUUGGCAGAAAAAUGCAUUAGAAUUAGAAUCUAAUAAAACUAAA